GCUGACUAAACAACAAAACACAAACAUACACUACCAAACAAACAAAUCAUUUGCCUCACCCAGUAGUUACGAUCGAACAGUUACAAGUCACAAUAAAGUACCGCAAGGGAACAAUACAAGCAACAAACAGCAAAGAUUGACCCCUGUACCUUUUGCAUCAUGGUUUAGCAAGAAUAUAAGGACAAGAAGAGUCAUAGCCCUUUACCCCGAAACCGAGUGAGCUAUUUUCAAGCAGUCUAACGGACGUACCCUUCUAUGUAGCAAAAUAGUGGGAAGACUUAAAAAUAGCGGUGAAACGCCUACCGAACCCGGAGAUAGCUGGCUACCCAAAAUAGAAUCUAAGUUCUGCUUUAGAACGAGCAUUUAACUAAUCAACCAUCUAAAGUUAAUCAAUAGAGGUACAGCUCUAUUGACCAGGAUACAACCUGAAUUUGCAAGAAAACCACGCACACCUUAACCAGUAGGCCCUCAAGCAGCCACCCCAAAAAAUAUCGUCAAAGAAUUGACCUAAAUAAUUCCAUAACCAACCAAAAACUUCAAAUUAACUUAGGGUGAAUCUACAUAAGUAGACAUCAUUAUGCUAAAACUAAUAAUAAGAACCCAUCUCUUUUACGCACCCCUCCCCUAGAAACAGAAAAACUACUAGCAGUUAACAGACCACAAAAGGACAAACAAACCUAUACACACCUUAAACCAACUGUAGCCCCGACACAGGAGCGUUAAAAAGAAAGAUUAACCGUUAUAAAAGGAACUCGGCAACCAAGGGCUCCAACUGUUUAACAAAAACAUAACCUUUAGCUAAACAAGUAUUAAAGGCGACGCCUGCCCAGUGAACAUUAAACGGCCGCGGUAUCCUAACCGUGCAAAGGUAGCAUAAUCAUUUGUCUAUUAAUUGUAGACCUGUAUGAAAGGCAAAAUGAGAGCCCAACUGUCUCUUAUAACAAAUCAAUAAAACUGAUCUUCUAGUACAAAAGCUAAAAUAUUAACAUAAGACCAGAAGACCCUGUGAAGCUUUAACAAACCCAUUAAAUCUAAUAAUGAAUACUUUCGGUUGGGGCGACCUUGGAAUAAAAAAGAACUUCCAACAUAUGACUACUCAUAAAAAGAGGCAAACAAGCCUACAUUAGAUCCAGCACAGCUGAUAAUUGAAAUAAGUUACUCCAGGGAUAACAGCGCUAUCUUCUUUAAGAGCCCAUAUCAAAAAGAAGGUUUACGACCUCGAUGUUGGAUCAGGACAUCCCAGUAAUGCAUCCGUUACUAAAGGCUCGUUUGUUCAACGAUUAACAGUCCUACGUGAUCU
rnacentral:rRNA from 1 species